CAAGUCGAACGAUUAAAGCUUCCUUCGGGAAGUGCAUAAAGUGGCGCACGGGUGAGUAACACGUAAGUAAUCUACCCUCGAGUGGGGAAUAACGUCCGGAAACGGACGCUAAUACCGCAUAAUGCAGCGGCACCGCAAGGUGACAGUUGUUAAAGAUUUAUUGCUUGAGGAGGAGCUUGCGGCAGAUUAGCUAGUUGGUAAGGUAAUGGCUUACCAAGGCUACGAUCUGUAUCCGGUCUAAGAGGACGGUCGGACACACUGACACUGAAUAACGGGUCAGACUCCUACGGGAGGCAGCAGUCGGGAAUUUUGGGCAAUGGGGGAAACCCUGACCCAGCAACGCCGCGUGAAGGAUGAAGUAUUUCGGUAUGUAAACUUCGAAAGAAUAGGAAGAAUUAAUGACGGUACUAUUUAUAAGGUCCGGCUAACUACGUGCCAGCAGCCGCGGUAAUACGUAGGGACCAAGCGUUGUUCGGAUUUACUGGGCGUAAAGGGCGCGUAGGCGGCGCGGUAAGUCACUUGUGAAAUCUCUGAGCUUAACUCANAACGGCCAAGUGAUACUGCAGUGCUAGAGUGUGGAAGGGGCAAUCGGAAUUCUUGGUGUAGCGGUGAAAUGCGUAGAUAUCAAGAGGAACACCUGAGGUGAAGACGGGUUGCUGGGCCAACACUGACGCUGAGGCGCGAAAGCCAGGGGAGCAAACGGGAUUAGAUACCCCGGUAGUCCUGGCCCUAAACGAUGAAUACUUGGUGUCUGGAGUUUUAAUGCUCCGGGUGCCGUCGCUAACGUUUUUAGUAUUCCGCCCUGGGGAGUACGCUCGCAGGGAGUGAAACUCAAAGGAAUU
rnacentral:rRNA from 1 species